AGCUCCAAUAGCGUAUAUUUAAGUUGUUGCAGUUAAAAAGCUCGUAGUUGGAUUUUGGGUGUGGCACGCCGGUCCUCUCUUUGAGUGUGCACUGGCAGGCCGCAUCUUUCUGUCGAGGACGUGCUCCUGGUUCGAAAGGAUUGGGACACGGAGUCGGCGAAGUUACUUUGAAAAAAUUAGAGUGUUCAAAGCGGGCCUACGCUUGAAUAUAUUAGCAUGGAAUAACACUAUAGGACUCCUGUCCUAUUCUGUUGGUCUUCGGGAUGGGAGUAAUGAUUAAGAGGAACAGUUGGGGGCAUUCGUAUUUCAUUGUCAGAGGUGAAAUUCUUGGAUUUAUGAAAGACGAACUUCUGCGAAAGCAUUUGCCAAGGAUGUUUUCA
rnacentral:rRNA from 1 species